GAUACGGAUGCUCCAGCCAUGGAAUUAAAUUGAAUGCAGCGNAUGAUGUGAACUAAAACGGACAGCGUGAUGCAGAGAUAGCAAGCAGCGGAAAUGGUCGUAUGUGAUGCAGUGGAAACGAAUGCAGAUCUUCUAUGGAAGUGGUACUAGUUCAGUCGGCUCCCAUUCUUGGAAGGAACUAGGUGGUGAGGUGGAAAGAUCAAGGAAGAUGACUUU
rnacentral:lncRNA from 1 species